GCCAGACUCCUACGGGAGGCAGCAGUGGGGGAUAUUGCACAAUGGGGGAAACCCUGAUGCAGCGACGCCGCGUGGGUGAAGAAGCGCCUCGGCGCGUAAAGCCCUGUCAGCAGGGAAGAAAAUGACGGUACCUGAAGAAGAAGCCCCGGCUAACUACGUGCCAGCAGCCGCGGUAAUACGUAGGGGGCAAGCGUUAUCCGGAUUUACUGGGUGUAAAGGGAGCGUAGACGGCAGUGCAAGUCCGGAGUGAAAGCCCGGGGCUCAACCCUGGGACUGCUCUGGAAACUGUAAAGCUGGAGUGCGGGAGGGGCAGGCGGAAUUCCUGGUGUAGCGGUGAAAUGCGUAGAUAUCAGGAGGAACACCGGCGGCGAAGGCGGCCUGCUGGACCGUAACUGACGUUGAGGCUCGAAAGCGUGGGGAGCAAACAGGAUUAGAUACCCCGGUAU
rnacentral:rRNA from 1 species